UGCAAGUCGAGCGGACAGAUGGGAGCUUGCUCCCGGUAUGUUAGCGGCGGACGGGUGAGUAACACGUGGGUAACCUGCCUGUAAGACUGGGAUAACUCCGGGAAACCGGAGCUAAUACCGGAUAGUUCCUUGAACCGCAUGGUUCAAGGAUGAAAGACGGUUUCGGCUGUCACUUACAGAUGGACCCGCGGCGCAUUAUCUAGUUGGUGAGGUAACGGCUCACCAAGGCGACGAUGCGUAGCCGACCUGAGAGGGUGAUCGGCCACACUGGGACUGAGACACGGCCCAGCACUCCUACGGGAGGCAGCAGUAGGGAAUCUUCCGCAAUGGACGAAAGUCUGACGGAGCAACGCCGCGUGAGUGAUGAAGGUUUUCGGAUCGUAAAGCUCUGUUGUUAGGGAAGAACAAGUGCAAGAGUAACUGCUUGCACCUUGACGGUACCUAACCAGAAAGACCACGGCUAACUACGUGCCACCAGCCGCGGUAAUACGUAGGUGGCAAGCGUUGUCCGGAAUUAUUGGGCGUAAAGGGCUCGCAGGCGGUUUCUUAAGUCUGAUGUGAAAGCCCCCGGCUCAACCGGGGAGGGUCAUUGGAAACUGGGAAACUUGAGUGCAGAAGAGGAGAGUGGAAUUCCACGUGUAGCGGUGAAAUGCGUAGAGAUGUGGAGGAACACCAGUGGCGAAGGCGACUCUCUGGUCUGUAACUGACGCUGAUGAGCGAAAGCGUGGGGAGCGAACAGGAUUAUAUACCCCUGGUGGUCCACGCCGUAACGAUGAGUGCUAAGUGUUGGGGGUUUCCGCCCCUUAUUGCUGCAGCUAACGCAUUAAUCACUCCGCC
rnacentral:rRNA from 1 species